AAACGGGUUCGCAGGUUUAACCUGAAACUGACCCAAACCCGUUUAGACUAAACCCAAACCCACAAAUUUCGUGUUAGAUUCAUGUCGCGUUUUCGGGUGUCAGAAAUUCAUACCCCUAUAAUACUCAUUUCUACGCAAACCCUUUAUCUUUCUUCCAUAAACGUAAGCAUCAACGCCAGAAAUUCAAGUCGUAACUCAAAACCUCCAAACUCCUUUAUAUUCGUUUCAUUUUUUCAGAUCUGAAAUCUCCGUUACCGGAUCUGACACCUCCGGCAAAUUUGAAACGUUUUUGACCGGAGAAAUAGUGUCUUCUCCGUCGAGGACUGAACCGACGAUACGGGGAGUAUUUCUGCGAACGUUCCGGUUUUAGUGUUUCAAGAAUCUUGAAUUUGUUUAGGAUGAAUGGAUCAAAGAACUGGUCAUGUUGUUUUGGGAUGAAUGUUUGUUGAAUCAGAAGCCAAAAGAUUGUUGCUGACAAAGAAGGAGACCGCAUACAGACGCAUCCCGAUUCCAAUGCGUCUGGGCCUACCUUGAAACGCCACAUGCCUAUUUUGUAUUGGGUUGCUUGAGGCAUCUGCAUAUGGACGCAUCCUGUGCAUGAUGAGCCGCUGCUCCAAGGACGCGGUAGGUGGCCAAAUCUGAAAGCGGCUUUAGUCAAUGGCCAUUUUCAUAAUUUUUUCCUAAUAUUAAUAUUAAUUUUAAUUAAUGAAUAAUGAUAAAUUGUAAAUGAUAAAUAAUAUUAAUAAACUAGCUUAUAGUCCCGUGUGUUAA